rnacentral:misc_RNA from 1 species
AAAAGUCGUAACAAGGUCUCCGUUGGUGAACCAGCGGAGGGAUCAUUACAGAGUUAUCCAACUCCCAAACCCAUGUGAACUUAUCUCUUUGUUGCCUCGGCGCAAGCUACCCGGGACCCAGCGCCCCGGGCGGCCCGCCGGCGGACAAACCAAACUCUUGUUAUCUUAGUUGAUUAUCCGAGCGUCUUAUUUAAUAAGUCAAAACUUUCAACAACGGAUCUCUUGGUUCUG